UACGGGGGGGGGCAAGCGUUGUUCGGAAUUAUUGGGCGUAAAGGGCGCGUAGGCGGCCUGGCAAGUGGAUGGUGAAAUCCCUCGGCUUAACCGAGGAACUGCCAUCCAGACUGCUUGGCUUGAGACCGGGAGAGGUGAGUGGAAUUCCCAGUGUAGCGGUGAAAUGCGUAGAUAUUGGGAGGAACACCAGUGGCGAAGGCGGGCUCACUGGACCGGUACUGACGCUGAGGCGCGAAAGCGGUGGGGAGCAAACGGG
rnacentral:rRNA from 1 species